GAAUCUCUUCAUCCCAACCCAGGCUGUGGGCGCCAUCAUCGGGAGAAAGGGGGUGCACAUCAAACAGCUGGCUCGAUUCGCAGGUGCCUCCAUCAAGAUAGCUCCAGCAGAAGGUCCGGAUGUCAGUGAAAGGAUGGUCAUCAUCACCGGGCCACCUGAAGCCCAGUUCAAGGCUCAGGGGCGGAUCUUUGGGAAGCUGAAGGAAGAAAACUUCUUUAA